rnacentral:rRNA from 1 species
AUUGAACGCUGGCGGCAUGCCUUACACAUGCAAGUCGAACGGUAACAGGUUAAGCUGACGAGUGGCGAACGGGUGAGUAAUGUAUCGGAACGUGCCCAGUCGUGGGGGAUAACUACUCGAAAGAGUGGCUAAUACCGCAUACGACCUGAGGGUGAAAGCGGGGGACCGUAAGGCCUCGCGCGAAUGGAGCGGCCGAUAUCAGAGUAGCUAGUUGGUGGGGUAAAAGCCCACCAAGGCGACGAUCUGUAGCUGGUCUGAGAGGACGACCAGCCACACUGGGACUGAGACACGGCCCAGACUCCUACGGGAGGCAGCAGUGGGGAAUUUUGGACAAUGGACGCAAGUCCGAUCCAGCCAUGCCGCGUGCGGGAAGAAGGCCUUCGGGUUGUAAACCGCUUUUGUCAGGGAAGAAACGAGUUUCUCUAAUACAGAGACUUAAUGACGGUACCUGAAGAAUAAGCACCGGCUAACUACGUGCCAGCAGCCGCCGUAAUAC